GAAAAGAAAAUGUUGCCACUCUGCUUGCUUCUUGCUAUCAUAAUUAAUGUUUUCUUUUAGAAUAAGACUUCUUGAUUUCUUGUGGUAACUGGUAGUUUUGAUCUACCCAGAAAUGAAUUCAUUAGAAUCAACAGAUCUGCAAGCCCAUUUUCAUCAAGACUUGUUUCCUUCUAAUUCAAAUAUUUUCAUCAGAGAUUCCUUCAUUAUCAUACAUGAUAAUACAUCUACACCACCAUAUGUAAAACAACUUGUAUUUCAUGAUCAGCGAAGUGAUUUUUACACAAGUUAGAACGCAAGCCCUACCAAUUCCAAACAAAAUUAUACUACAGUGUCUAAAAAGAAAAAGAAAAAGAAAAAGGAGAAUAAAGAAAGAAAAAGAAAUUUUAAACCAUCUUUACGAUCAGCAGCUAUGUUCAAGAGCUUCUUAAAACCUUUUUUCUGUAGCAGAAUCACCAGGAGGCAAAGAAGUAUCAACCGUUGAUGAUUCUUUCUCCUGAAAACUUCCUUUGAAGAUAGUAUUUUCUUGUUGGACCCAUUUCACUGCAGGGAACUUAACCCUAAAGAAAGAGGUUGCAGGGAUGGUUGAAGGAGGAAGGGAUGGUGAGGACGUUGGUUUGAUACGGGUGGAAAGAAUUAGCAUUGCUGCUGUUGGAGCCAUUGAAGGAAAGAAAGCCGAGCAAAAUGGUUGGGAAAAUGACUUAUUUUUAUAGCGCACACUAAUCUGAUGGUUGGUUUGGAUAAAAACAGGCAAAG
rnacentral:misc_RNA from 1 species